GAUGAACGCUGGCGGCGUGCCUAAUACAUGCAAGUCGAGCGAACAGACGAGGCGCUUGCUCCUCUGACGUUAGCGGCGGACGUGUGAGUAACACGUGUAUAACCUACCUAUAAGACUGGUAUAACUUCGGGAAACCGGAUCUAAUACCGGAUAAUAUAUUGAACCGCAUUGUUCAAUAGUGAAAGACGGUUUUGCUGUCACUUCUAGAUGGAUCCGCGCCGCAUUAGCUAGUUGGUACGGUAACGGCUUAACAAGGCAACGAUGCGUAGCCGACCUGAGAGGGUGAUAGGCGACAUUGGAACUGAAACACGGUCAAGACGCCUAAGGGAGGCAGCAGUAGGGAAGCUUCCGCAAUGGGCGAAAGCCUGACGGAGCAACGCCGCGUGAGUGAUGAAGGUCUUCGGAUCGUAAAACUCUGUUAUGAGGGAAGAACAAAUGUGUAAGUAACUAUGCACGGCUUGACGGUACCUAAUCAGAAAGCAACGGCUAACUACGUG
rnacentral:rRNA from 1 species